UUGUCCUUUUUCUAAUAAUAUUCUUUAUUGUUUUACUUUGUUGGUCCUUGAUUUAGCAAUAUCCUUUAUUUUUUUCGUUGUUUGUCCUUUAUUUAGCAUAAUGUUUAUUUUCUUACUUUUUGUGUCCUUUUUUUUUUAGCAAAAAUUUUUCUUGUUUUAUUUUGUUUGUCCUUUAUUAGGGACCGGUCAAAAUUCAUCGUCACAUAGGACCGGUGCAAAAAAUAAAAACAUUUAAUAAAAGUUACAACCCUAUGGCUU
rnacentral:lncRNA from 1 species